rnacentral:rRNA from 1 species
UACAGAGACCUCAAGCGUUAUCCGGAAUCAUUGGGCGUAAAGCGUGCCGAUAGGUGGUUUAUUAAGUUUUGGGUAAAAGCCAGAAGCUUAACUUCUGAGUUUGCUCAAGAUACUGAUAGACUAGAGGGGCAAAGAGGUGCUUGGAACGAAUGGUGUAGUAGUGAAAUGCGUUGAUAUCAUUCGGAACACCGAAAGCGAAGGCAGAGCACUGGGUGCCACCUGACACUGCUAGGACGAAAGCGUGGGUAGCGAAUGGG